rnacentral:rRNA from 1 species
GACGAACGCUGGCGGCGUGCCUAAUACAUGCAAGUAGAACGCUGAAGGAGGAGCUUGCUUCUCUGGAUGAGUUGCGAACGGGUGAGCAACGCGUAGGUAACCUGCCUGGUAGCGGGGGAUAGCUAUUGGAAACGAUAGCUAAUACCGCAUAACAGUAGAUAUCGCAUGAUAGCUGCUUGAAAGGUGCAAUUGCACCACUACCAGAUGGACCUGCGUUGUAUUAGCUAGUUGGUGAGGUAACGGCUCACCAAGGCGACGAUACAUAGCCGACCUGAGAGGGUGAUCGGCCACACUGGGACUGAGACACGGCCCAGACUCCUACGGGAGGCAGCAGUAGGGAAUCUUCGGCAAUGGACGGAAGUCUGACCGAGCAACGCCGCGUGAGUGAAGAAGGUUUUCGGAUCGUAAAGCUCUGUUGUAAGAGAAGAACGAGUGUGAGAGUGGAAAGUUCACACUGUGACGGUAUCUUACCAGAAAGGGACGGCUAACUACGUGCCAGCAGCCGCGGUAAUACGUAGGUCCCGAGCGUUGUCCGGAUUUAUUGGGCGUAAAGCGAGCGCAGGCGGUUAGAUAAGUCUGAAGUUAAAGGCUGUGGCUUAACCAUAAUACGCUUUGGAAACUGUUUAACUUGAGUGCAAGAGGGGAGAGUGGAAUUCCAUGUGUAGCGGUGAAAUGCGUAGAUAUAUGGAGGAACACCGGUGGCGAAAGCGGCUCUCUGGCUUGUAACUGACGCUGAGGCUCGAAAGCGUGGGGAGCAAACAGG